ensembl:lncRNA MIR100HG mir-100-let-7a-2-mir-125b-1 cluster host gene
ACUCUUGGAGUAGCAAUUGCUGGAUGUGCCUCUUUUGUUGAGGUGAUUGGAUCUUUUGGCAAAAACCAGUGACUGCAAAGGAUGAGAGAAACGAUCAGAAAAACUGAAAAGCUGUAGGAGACCAAACACUAGUGUCUCCCCUGCUUCAGGGGACACCCACUGUCAGAGUGAACGACAAAGACGCGCGUGGAUGAUUUGAAGAUAUUAGCCUAACAAGAUGGAAGCAGGUUUAAAAUUUUACAUAAGAAGUUACCUUUUUCAGGUAAUGGUGUUUUUCUGUAAUUUUCCCAAACCUUUCGCUUCCUCAAGUAUUGCAAAUUUUUAGGGCAUGCUUGAAUGAUUUAAUUAUGAAGAAUAACUACAUUUUAAACUUAAUUUUUUAAAAAAGAAACCAGUUUUAUAAUUUUCCUAGCCAAGGAGUAGAGCAGGCAUGACAUUCAACUCUAUGGAGUUUGGAAAAUUUUUAGAAAUUUAUUACUGAACAGCACUUGGUUUUUUGGAUUUGAAAAUUAAGCCAUAGAGCUACAACUAAAUUCUGUUUUGCCAAACUUCACAGCACCAGCAGGCUCUGAGCAAUCAUAAGCAUUUGAAACUAGCAGGCACUGCCCCUUAACUCUGUCGCUAUCUUGGGCAUUUGAAUGAAAAAAUAUAAGUAUUACAGGAUUGGCUCUAAAAAGCCUACCAUGUGUUCUGAAUUCCUGGAAGAUAGAGCUUAUAUAAAUUACAUAAUAACAAUAUUGAUUUUUUUUUUUACUUUAGUCAUAGAUUGGCAAUACUAUAUGGCACUUUAUGAAACUAUUCCCAUGCAUAUAUUCAGUGAGUAGGAUUUGAUCUUAGCUUUCAUGAUACAGGCAGUUUCCUUUUAGUGUCAUUGAAGGGCUUUAUGCCACCUAAAAAUGUUUAAUAACAUAAAUUAUAUAUUUGCUUUAUAAGUUACAUUACUCGGCCUUUGUCACUGCUUAUCAGCAUUAACCCAUAUUUUCCAACUUGUUAAUAUUACUAAGAGAGCCCACGGAUUCUUGCUUAAUGAAGCAAGCCAAAAUUUCUUCUGAAAAAAACCCCUCAUUUUCCUCCUCAACACAAAGAA